rnacentral:lncRNA from 1 species
AGCUUUUUGCUUAUUGGUUACUGGUGAUACUUGCCGGAGAACUGAAACGGUCCCGCUGUUGGUAAUUUCUUCCGGAAUUUGUGCCCUCUGCUUUUGGCCCGAGGAGCACUGAGGAAGCCCUGGGCUUAAUAGUUCCGGAUAAACUUGGGAGGGCGUUCGAAGAGAAACACUUUGUGCAGCUGCCGCCAGGUGGAACCAGAAAGCAGCGUGAAGGUCGAAAUUCGUGUUUUAGACUUAAAUGAGAUAAUGGAUGUCAAAGAGCCUUUAAAAAGGAUUUUAAGGCCGGGCGUGGCUCACGCCUGUAAUCUCAGCACUUUGGGAGAUCGCAGAGGAAGGAUCGUUUGAGCCCAGGAGCUCGAGGCUGCAAUGAGCGAGAAGGAGAACUUAGCUGGAUUUCUCCUGCUGCUUUGAGAAUAGUCUGGAGGAUGGGGAGAGCCCGCCUGCACCCAGGUGAAAUAAACAGCCAUGUUGCUCACACAAAGCCUGUUUGGUGGUCUCUUCACACGGACGCAUGAAACAAUACCGAUGUCUUAAAGACCUUUCUCUCUGGGAGGAAAGAGAAGGAGAUGGAUGAAGAAGCAGAGACAAAUUGAGUUGGGGAGAGGAGGGAAGUUGCAGAACCUCCUGCAAAUGACGUUUUUCUCAGAAUCUCGAUCUGUAGCCCAGGCUGGAGUGUAG